GAUGAACGCUGGCGGCAGGCCUAACACAUGCAAGUCGAACGCCCCGCAAGGGGAGUGGCGCACGGGUGAGUAACGCGUGGGAAUAUGCCCUUCGGUUCGGAAUAACACAGGGAAACUUGUGCUAAUACCGGAUACGAUCUACGGAUGAAAGAUUUAUCGCCGAGGGAGUAGCCCGCGUAGGAUUAGCUAGUUGGUGAGGUAAUGGCUCACCAAGGCGACGAUCCUUAGCUGGUCUGAGAGGAUGAUCAGCCACACUGGGACUGAGACACGGCCCAGACUCCUACGGGAGGCAGCAGUGGGGAAUAUUGGACAAUGGGCGAAAGCCUGAUCCAGCCAUGCCGCGUGAGUGAUGAAGGCCUUAGGGUUGUAAAGCUCUUUCGUCCGGGACGAUAAUGACGGUACCGGAAGAAGAAGCCCCGGCUAACUUCGUGCCAGCAGCCGCAGUAA
rnacentral:rRNA from 1 species